rnacentral:lncRNA from 1 species
AGACUUUGAGGUACCAGAACCCACGAGGUACCAGGCAUGUAGAAGACAUAGCAUAUACAAAACUAAGCAACAUCGAAUGGAUCGUCAUGCUUUGUGACAUAUGAAGGUAGUCAAAUAAUCAUAUUGAGAUGUUUGCUCUUGAUUGUUAGAGAAAGAGAGAGGGAGUGCAGGGACAAGAGUCUAGGAACUUGUUGUGAAAUAGGAAAAUACUGGAGUGUCGAGGAUUCCUGUGAGAUUUAUGAAGCGUAAAGCCUAAGUUU